rnacentral:rRNA from 1 species
AGAUUGAACGCUGGCGGCAUGCCUUACACAUGCAAGUCGAACGGCAGCACGGGAGCAAUCCUGGUGGCGAGUGGCGAACGGGUGAGUAAUAUAUCGGAACGUGCCCAGUCGUGGGGGAUAACGCAGCGAAAGCUGUGCUAAUACCGCAUACGAUCUAUGGAUGAAAGCGGGGGAUCGCAAGACCUCGCGCGAUUGGAGCGGCCGAUAUCAGAUUAGCUAGUUGGUGGGGUAAAAGCCUACCAAGGCGACGAUCUGUAGCUGGUCUGAGAGGACGACCAGCCACACUGGAACUGAGACACGGUCCAGACU